rnacentral:lncRNA from 1 species
CCGGACCUUGGUUCAGACUCCACACGAAUAAUGCAGCGCAUCUGUGUUUCACGCCGAACAAGGACCUACGGGCGCCGGCGAUCGCCGGAUCUUUAUGAAAUUAUCUCAACAUCACCCAGAGACAUAGUAUAAUCAAAGCAGGAAGCGAGGCAGGGAUAAACACGAACCGGAUAGGAUACCGAUCAUAGGUGGAACUGACACUGCGACACACACACACCACAACAACAAGCUCCAGCUGAGCAGACGCAGGCACGGUGGCCGGCGAGAGUGGCACCGCGUCGCUCGCUGGCUGCUGACUGGGCACUGGGCCUCGACACGACAACACUUUUAUUUAGCCCACGUCACCGCGCGACCCCGCGCAAAGCACCCCACACCUAGUACGUACUCGUAGUAAAAAGGUAGCACCCCACUCCACUCCACUGGCUGACUGAGCAUCGCGCCGUGCCACGUAGGAGCACACGGCCGCCGCCGCCGUGGACGCGCGCCUCACACGCUCACGGUGGCCUCCUCUGCCGCGGCCGCGGGCGCCUCCUCCGCUGCAGCCGGCGCUUCCUCGGCGACGGCCGCCACCUCCGGCUCGGCGGCAGCGGGUGCCGCCUCCUCCUCCUUCACCUCCUCGGCCGCCGCCGCCGGCUCGGCCUCUGCCACGGCCUCCUUGGUCUCCGUCUCGACCACGGCUGGCGCCUCGGCCACCGGCUCGGCCGCAGCUGCCGGCUCGGGCUCCUUGGCCUCCUCCGUCACGGCGGCGGCCGGCGCCUCCUCCUUGGCCGCCUCGACCUCGACGGGGGCAGGCGCCUCGACCUCGGCCUCCGCCGGCGCGGGGACCUCCUCCGUCUUCGCGGCCUCCUCGGCGGCCACGGGCGUCUCCACCGCCGGCGCCUCCUCCGUCAGCGCGGCCGUCGGGUUCUGGACCUGCACGUUUGCACACUCAAUGCCAUCAGCCCCACGCACAUGCCAGCACGUACACAAACCGAUCAAGCUCGAGCUCGACCACGAUCAUGGGCGUUCGUCAGAUCGCGUAGAUCCAUCGGAACGACCAUCGAUCCGAGAACAUGAAAGAGAACAGACGAUCGAUCGAUCCGAUCGAGGCAAGCUAGCUAUACGUACAUCAGCGGUGGCCAUUGCCGUGGUGGAAGCAAGAAAAUGCCCGGAGCUAGCUGAAGCUAGUGCUACUGUGACCCUGUUGUGUGCCUGUGGCUGAUCCGAUGAGAGAGUGUGAGGCGUGUGUGUCUGUGUGGAGCAAUGGAGGCUAUAUAUAGCGGCCUCCGGAGGCCAAAACGGGGAGAACACAAACGCAAAUCGAAGGCCAAAAAAAUUUAAAAACGAAGCCGAUCGACGGGUCGAGGAAAUAAACAAGCCGAGUCCGUCUCAUGAUGAUCGGGAAUCUGGGGAGCUGUAUGUGCAAAUAAGCACGUCCUGACGACGUGCGGUUGUACGUGCGCGUCAUGCCAUCGAAGUAAAAGGUGGCCCGUGAGUCAUGACACUGUGUAAAGGGUCCAAAGAACAUACCAGGGUGCCCGUGCACGGCCCGCGUCUAGUUCAUCUCGCUCCACAUGUUGCUCGAUCAGGAUCGGUCGUGCCACACACACACAAAUAUAUGUUCGAGAGAAAAGUUGCGAGAUUCUUGAACUUAUUUUCCAUUUUCCAUAAGUUUCCGUGUACGAUCGGCCCUGCUGUCACGUUGAUGUGUGUGCCGUGUGCUGGCCAAACCUGAUCCGGCCCUGGUGGCAGUGGCAACAUGCAAGUGGGACCUUUUGAGGUGUACACAACAACACAUCUCGUCCUCCUUGCACGUUCUGCGCCGUCCUUUCCAUCGGACCGUCGAUCCCUUACCGAUUAAUUAAAUAUAAAUGAAGCCCUCGCCGAUUUAGCCGUAGCAGUAAUCGAUUCCAUCAUCUGUGAUUUGGAUCGAAACGUAUUUGAUUAGCCUUUGUUUUGUACGUACGAGAUUACGAUAGCUGAGCAGGGGCGGCUGUCGUCCGGGUUGGCGUGGAGACAAUGGAGUUGGAACCGAUGAAUGUGCGCGCCUGAAUAGUCGCGAUUUGGUUUUGGGAUUUAGGUUAGCUCUCCGUCUCAGGGUAGUACGUGGCCACCCGGCCUAUGCUACCGUAUAGACUUUCUUUUCCAGCAGUACGUAUGUUCUUUUUCUUUUUCCUUUUUCUUUUCGAGAUGUGACGUGAUGUGGAUCGGUGAAACCUAAUUAAGGUCCUGGUUACGCAUAUGUUUGCUGAUGGAGAGGGGGAGGGCGGCAUUCACUCAUUUUGCAAAACGAUUAUAUAUAUAUAUAUAUAUUGUCAUACACAGUAUGUAUGAUGUGCUAGGUAAUCCAGGGGUAAAAGUUUCUUUUAUUAUAGAAAAAAAAAUAAGGUGGUGGUGUCGAAUGGACCAAGGUUUUUUGUGAGAGCAAUUCCAGAUCCCCAAGCAAUCACCGCUGGAAUCGUGUCCCUGUUCUAGCGCUACAGUGGUAGCCUGCAUGUGUCAUGCUUCAGAGUCGAUCAGCAACAACAAUUAUGACAGCAACUGGAUGGAUGUCCCCCAUCACCUUUGGCUCUGGGGCUCGUCUACUUGCUCCGGCCUCCACCACCUUUGCCCGAAAGCUAGCGUAGAUAUAUGCAAGACGAUUACUACCGCGCCGCAGGGGUAGUUGUCCAUGGAUCAACCUCACGCUCCAAAACAAGAAACUUAUCAGAAAAGCAACGGGGAUAUCAUCAGCGGGACAGCGAGAUUACACUAACACGAAGUAGCACGCCACUAAUUAAUCGUCGCCACCUGAUCUCUUCCCUCGCCGGUCACCGCCGCCGAAAGGUCGAGAGACGGACAUGCGCAGCAAGGUAGCUGAGCUCUUACAAAAUGAGUGAAACCCCUUGGUUGCCCAUGUAAUCUUCUUUCCUCCUCUAAACUAAUUGCUUGCAGAUGAUUUUUGGCCCCGGUGGAGUGGAGGCGAUGGGGUUGGGCAGCUUUCUUUUCGAGAAAAUUCUCGCCGCCGUCGUUGUCGUCGCUUUAAACCGGCCAUUCAGAUCAUCAGAUGGCAUGGAAAGCGACGAGCAAGCAGAGUCCGCACCGGGCGUCCAACAUGCGCCGGCCACGGCCAGUGCCCGGUAGGACGGUCCGCUGGGCUGAUUGGUGCCACAUCACGCAGAAGAGAUAUACUAGAGUAGAGCAGUCGACAUGGCCGGCUGUCAGCCCCGGCCCCGCCUGCGUGUCCCUCCACCGCCGUGAUCUCCCGUGGCACCGGCCGGCCAGCUGCGCUGCUCGCUUUCGGCGGCCGUGCCAUGCCAUGCCAUGCCAUGCCAUGUGUGGUCGCCAUCGCGCACGCCGGUUCGAUCCAGACUUUCGUGUUGGCCAGCCAGCGGUGGGGUGUGGCUGCGGCUACAUAACGCCGAGCUUUCACAAAGGUGACGGGUGAGGCGCCGCAUAGGGAGCCACGGAGUUGGUGGGCGCAGGGAGCGGGGGGUGGGAUGAUUGGAGCCCAUGACCCGGAAGCGAUGGUGAGGUGGCGCCACGGCUAGGGGCGGUGGAGGAGGGGCCCGCGUCACAGUGCCCGUGAUGGAAACGGCGGUGUGCGGACGCGGCGUUCCACUUCCACCUGUGAAUGACGUGUGAUGUGCCUCCAUGUCGGACCGCGGCCACAUGCGAUUUUUAAUGGAGUAUACUUGUACGAGUACGAGCUGAUCCACCUCAGCGUUUUGUUGGUUCGUCCAAACGACGAGCCGGGAUUUGCGCAGAGCAGGUUGCUUGAUUGGAAGAUGCAGUAUAUUUCCUUUUGAAUAUGACCUCCCUCCCUCCGUUUCUAAAUAUAAGACAUUUUAAACAUUGCACUAUAAACUACAUACGGAUGUAUAUAGACAUAUUUUAGAGUGUACAUUCGCUCAUUUUAUUUUGUAUGUAGUCUUUUAAUGAAAUAUCUAAAAGAUCUUAUAUUUUGCAACGGAGGGAGUAGUAGGCAAAAUUCAGGCUUGCGGCUUUCGAUAUAGUAUAUUUUUGGCUGCAUUUGUCAUCCGGCGUGGAAAAACAAAAUUUCUUUUGGCUGCUCCAUCGGUGUCAUGCAAAUACAUGAAUUUUUUUAGGGUCGAUGUCGCCGCGCAAAUACAUGAAUUAUUAAGAGAGAGCUUUGGUAAGUUAGAAAAAAAAAAGGUGCACUGAUUGGCAAUGGGAGACUUGUAUAGGACCUUACCUUUGAGGCAUUUCUAACCGAUCCUCAAUAGAGCCAUAAGCGCAACUUUAACGGGUCGAUCCAAACGGAUGACGGUUUUGUCUCUUUUUGUUCGUUUGGGUCGUCCACCGGCAUGUCCGUGUCUGUUUCUUUAAAUGGGUCAGCACAUGUAUCCAACGAAAAGCAAGUGAACAACAUCUUUGUGACAAUGGGGUGGGUCAGCGAAUUAAGUAAGCACGCACAGGUGGGUGGGUGGCUAUGUGACAAGUCGGCCAGGCCGGCCACAUGCAUACACAGAGAGGGCGCGCGCGUCCGCUUCGUGUCCGUGCCGACGCAUUUCAGUCCCAAAUUUGAGCCAGAAAUGGGUCGGCGCAGACGUAAAGCGGACGCGUUUCGGAAAUGGGUCCGCCGUUGGCCAUCACUUUUAUCCGCACGGACCCAAACGGACGACGGCGGACGAAAUGGGUCGCACCAUUGAAGUUGCUCUAAGAAAGUAAAUCGCAUUACUCCUUUAUGGCGGACGACCCCCUAAAAAUGUUAACGCAGUAAUUAUUUUAAAUAUACUUUAUCUUUCGACGGUCGAGUAAAACCCGUCUCACUUUGGACGUCCGAGAAGGAGGUCCAAGAGGUGGUGACCGAGGUGGAGGUUGUCGAGGUGAUCGAAGCAAGCAUCAAGACCUCGAGGACCCACACCCAUAACUACAACCAAAAGGACGACCUUGCACUUUGCAAUGCUUGGUGUGCCAUUGUAACGUCGAAGAUGAGAUUCUAUCCUUAUUUUGACGCGAGGGCCUCGACAGGGAUAGAAGCGCAUCUCGUCGUUUCGCAAGAAUGGACAUCAUUACAAGUACAUGUACAGAAAAGAUGAGUAUAUGGAAUUGGCUUACACUCGUCACAAGCUACAACGUGAACAACACAAUACAACAAUGUAUUCAAUCACCAUGUAGAAGAUCACGGUCCAACUACAGACUAAAUCAAAUGAUAAAAGGUCGACGUUCAUCCUUGCUAUCCCAGACUUUCGGCGUAAAACCCAUUCUAGAUUGAUGAUGAAGAAGAAGAAGAAACUCCAAAUGGCACAAUCUCGCGCUCACAUCAAAGUAUGGCUUUACGUGUACCUGCAACUGUUGUUGUAGUAAUCUAUGAGCCACAUGGACUAAGCAGUCUCAUUUUCAAAGGUAUCAAGACUAGCAAAGCUUAAUGGAUGAGGUAUGCUUAAGUGAUGAGGCUGCAACAAGCGACUAAACAUUUAUUCGAGUGACUAACUUACGAGUACAAGAAUAAUAGGGGGUGAUCUACGCAUAACAUACGUGAUCUAAUAAUGAUCUCAAAGUGAUCCUGAACACCUACUUACGUCCGACAUAAACCCACCGUAUCCUCUUCCGGAUGCAGAACUCACGAAAAGAGACAGUCACGGUUACGUACAUAGUUGGCAGGUUUUAAAUAAAUUUACUUCGAGUUAUUUAGAACCGGAUGUUAAACAAAGUUUCCAAGUUUUCACAUAACCACGGGCACAGCUCUAAAAAAUAAUUAACCCUGUAGGAGUGCUUCAACUAGUCCAUCAAAAACUACCACACGCUGCAUCGGAAACCUCGACCGCGGAAAACCUGUGAUCUCCUCAGAUUCCUAGUGGAAAACCUCAACCUUGAUAUUACCCAAAGUAUCCUCGGAAUCCCUCGUGCAAGACGUUCGGGAAAGGUAAAACAAAUCCAGCAAGGCUGCCCGGCGUGUCGAUGAUUCUAAUAGGAGUUGUGUAUCUCAUUCUCAGGACACGAUGGAUAAGCACAGCGUAGAGUGGCAUGAUAGAUAUCUCCCGAAUUGCCCUGGGUUGGCCUCGCACAUGGCUCUAGUUUGGACCAACACUCAUGGAGAGCACUGGCCCGGGGGUUGAUUAAUUAUCCACGGGGUCCGAAAAGUCUCUAUGCAAUUUUAUUAGGUUAUUAGACAAAUGUAGUACAAAUGUUGGGCCUUGUCGGAAGAUUUUUAUACCAAAACGAAAGUCAAGGGGGUCCCCAUAACAACCCCAAGCAUGUUAGGAGCGUUCAGUAUGGAUCUUAACACCGGUACACAACUAGCUAGGGUAGCAAAGGUGGAACAAAACACCGAGCUAGAAGGCCAAGCCUUCUACCUUUUACCAAGUAUAUAGGUGCAUUAAAUUAAAUAAAGAUAAUAUGGUGAUAUAACAAGGAAUCCAUGUUGACACAUGGAAAGCAACUACACCUGCAACUAGCAACGCUAUAAGAAGUCUGACCAAGCAGUAACAUAGUCAAACAGUGGCUUGCUGGGAUGUGGAGGGGUUAGAGGUUUUCAUGGAAAUGUUGGAAGGCUGACAUUUAAGUGGUAGGCACCGAGACAUAGCGAAAGAAACGAGACAACUAGCAUGACAAUGAUAGUAAUCGUAUCUAGGGAAAUGAUCAUCUUGCGUGUGAUCCCACUUGGAAGAAGAACGAAUCCAUGAAGCAGACGAACCGACGUAGAGGAACGAAUCCUCACACUCAAUAGCGGUUCCGAACUCUAUCGAGAAGAAACAAUCCGGAAACAACAAUCAACACACAAUAACACCACAACAUAUGCAUGACAUGACGUGCAAACAAUUAUGAUGCAUGUCCAUUUAAUUAUGUACGACACGACAAAGCACAACAAUUUAUUACUACAUAUUAUAUGAAGCUCAAUAUGCAGCUCGUUGGAUAUUGACAAANNNNNNNNNNNNNNNNNNNNNNNNNNNNNNNNNNNNNNNNNNNNNNNNNNNNNNNNNNNNNNNNNNNNNNNNNNNNNNNNNNNNNNNNNNNNNNNNNNNNAUCCAUCACUGAUCCACUGCCUACCAGUCUUUUACUACUGGUCCUCGCUACGUUACUUUGUGUAGGCUUGUCCCUUGCUACAAAAGGGAUUGGGCCACUUUGCUGCUACUAUUGCUACUGCUGCCACUUUGCUGCUACUGUUGCUACUGCUGUUACUUUGCUGCUGCUGCUACUGUUGUUCCUUGCUACUCCGCUGCUACUUAGUGCAAAACCUUUUCUGGAGCAGUUGCUGGGGAAGAAUAGUCCCCCGUCAACGUGCUUUUUACUGGCGCCAUUGAUACAACAGUUAGGAAUAGUCUGCCGUCAACACAUCGUUUCUGGCACUGUUGCUAUCAUACUACCUUGCUACUGAUACUUUGCUUGCAGACACUAAUCUUUCAGGUGUGGUUGAAUCUGACACACUCAGCUGCUAAUACUCGAGAAUAUUCUUUUGCUUCCCUUGUGUGAACCAACAAAUUUGGGUUGAAUACUCUACCCUCGAAAACUGAUGGGAUCCCAUACGCUUGUGGGUUGUCAAUGCACCGCAUUUUGGCAACACCAUGUUUCCUAGAGUUGGCAACAAGGACCAGGUCCACUCUUACCUGGUAGAUAUGCUCAUCAUGUGUCAGAAGGGGCGGACUCGCCCCUCUGGACCACUGGAUGUCUCUCAUGUUAUGUGGAACGAGGUGUACUCCGCUGUCUUCCACCGUAAGAUCCCAAUCUAUGGUCCGUAUCUGUUUUACUUCAUCAAGAUGACUUGGGCAAACACCUCAACUACACCUGCUGCCCAGCUGUUGAGUUUCUUGCUCCUAAUUGGAUUCGACAUGAGCCCAUCAAACUGCGCCAGAAGGACAAAUGGGCAAACACCUCAAGUACACCUGCUGCCCCUAGGGAUUCUGAUUAGGAUGUGGCUGCUGCUGAGGAUGAGGCUGUUCCAGAGUCACACAUGCCUUCCUCUACCGAGCCAUCAUGGGCCAAAAAGCUCACCAACAGGAUGAAUACCUUGUUUUGCAUGCAGGCCAAGGGACAGUACAUGACCCAUGUCACUCAGAAGGAGAGUCAUCAGCGUGGCAAGAUGAUCACGAGGAAGCUUGACAUGCACAUCUCUAGUGGAUCUGAGCGAGAGAUCACCCCGGAGGCUGAGUGGAUGUAGAAGAACAAGCUGCAGUGGGCUGCGUUUGACCAGGGCUCUGAGGAGGAGACAAACNNNNNNNNNNNNNNNNNNNNNNNNNNNNNNNNNNNNNNNNNNNNNNNNNNNNNNNNNNNNNNNNNNNNNNNNNNNNNNNNNNNNNNNNNNNNNNNNNNNNAAGCCAAUGAUCUCAUUGAGACUCAUGAGGAUACUAUCUCCAAGAUGCAAGAACAUAGUCAUGAUUACGCCGAUGAGAUAACAGAACUAUCCAUUCCUCUAGAAGAAGUGCUCACUCCUCCCUUAAGGAGUCUCAUGAUCAACUCCAAGUAAAACUAACCAAGGAGAUUUCUAAUUGUCAUCCGUUUGUUUUAAUUGAUAAUGCUUGUGAUACUAAACCUUGUUGUGAGCAUGUGCAUCUUGUGGAGGAGAAUGCCAAGUUGAAAGAACAGCUUGAGAAGGGCCUCGUUACGUGCAUCUAAGGAGAGAAAAAUCUAAAUGAUCUUUUGAGUAAUCAAAAGGAAGUUGCAGGAAAGAAAGGACUUGGGUUUGCAACCAAGUCUAAGAAGAGAAGGAAAAACAAGACCAAGCCAUCUUCCUCUCUUAAGGACAUCCUUGUCAAAGAACAAGGAAGGGGGUGACAAUGUCAAGAAGUGCAAAACCACUCCCACCAACACUGCCGGCGAUUUUAACCCCUCUUAUGUUUUAUGCCGUGCUAGUGAUGGGCAUGUUUAUGCCAAAUUUGUUGGUUCUUAUUAUGAGUACAUCGAGUAGGAUAUUUGGGUUCCUAAGACCCUUGUUUCUAACAUCAAAGGACCCAUUCAAAAAUGGGUACCUAAAUCCAAGCAUUGAUCUCUUGCAGGGGUUUGCUUCCGGUGGAGUGUCAUGGUUGCUCGAUAGUGGAGCAACAAAUCAUAUGACCGAGAGCAAGGACUUGGUGGUGGAUGUGCAUCCAAUUCCAUCUAUGCCCACCCAUGUACAAUUUGUUGAUGCCUCAACAUCUAAGGUAAUGGGAUUUGGUAAGGUGGUCAACUCUCAAGAUUUAUCUANNNNNNNNNNNNNNNNNNNNNNNNNNNNNNNNCUCUCAAGAUUUAUCUAUAGAGAAGGUCAUGCUUGUUGAGUCCCUUGCAUACAAUUUGCUUUUCGUUCGUCAUCUUGCAAUUAUGGGCUUUGUCACAUUAUUUAAUCUUGAUACCGUGGCCCUUUUGUGGAGCAAGACUCCUAAAGUAGACUUUGUUGGAUAUGUCGAGAAUGGUCUCUAUGUAGUGAACUUUUUGGAGCGNNNNNNNNNNNNNNNNNNNNNNNNNNNNNNNNNNNNNNNNNNNNNNNNNNNNNNNNNNNNNNNNNNNNNNNNNNNNNNNNNNNNNNNNNNNNNNNNNNNNUGGGGAGACACACCAGCCCUUAGUGGGCUGGUGGGACAGCCCACAAGGGCCCUACGCGCCAAGGAGAAGAAAAUCAAGAGAGAAAAAAAAGGAGGAGGUGGGAAGGAAGGGGGACUCCCUCCCACCAAACCUAGUCCAACUCGGUUUGGGGGGGGAGAGUCCUCCCCCUUGGACUCGGCCGACCCCCUUGGGGCUCCUUGAGCCCCAAGGCAAGGUCCCCUCCCUCCCACCUAUAUAUACGGAGGUUUUACGGCUGAUUUGAGACGACCUUUACACUAUAUACGGAGGUUUUAGGGCUGAUUUGAGACGACUUUUCUCACGGCUGCCCGACCACAUACCUCCAUAGUUUUUCCUCUAGAUCGCGUUUCUGCGGAGCUCGGGCGGAGCCCUGCUGAGACAAGAUCAUCACCAACCUCCGGAGCGCCGUCACUCUGCUGGAGAACUCUUCUACCUCUCCGUCUCUCUUGCUGGAUCAAGACGGCCGAGAUCAUCGUCGAGCUGUACGUGUGCUGAACGCGGAGGUGCCGUCCGUUCGGUACUAGAUCGUGGGACUGAUCGCGGGAUUGUUCACGGGGCGGAUCGAGGGACAUGAGGACGUUCCACUACAUCAACCGCGUUCUCUAACGCUUUUGCUGUACGAUCUACAAGGGUACGUAGAUCACUCAUCCCCUCUCGUAGAUGGACAUCACCAUGAUAGGUUUCGUGCGCGUAGGAAAUUUUUUGUUUCCCAUGCGACGUUCCCCAACAGUGGCACCAUGAGCUAGGUUCAUGCGUAGAUGUCUUCUCGAGUAGAACACAAAAGGUUUUGUGGGAGGUGAUGUGCGUUUUGCUGGCCUCCUUAGUCUUUUCUUGAUUCCGCGGUAUUGUUGGAUUGAAGCGGCUUGGACCGACAUUAUUCGUACGCUUACGAGAGACUAGUUUCAUCGUUACGAGUAACUCCGUUGCUCAAAGAUGACUGGCAAGUGUAAGUUUCUCCAACUUUAGUUGAAUCGGAUUUGACCGAGGAGGUCCUUGGAUGAGGUUAAAUAGCAACUCAUAUAUCUCCGCUGUGGUGUUUGCGUAAGUAAGAUGCGAUCCUACUAGAUACCCAUGGUCACCACGUAAAACAUGCAACAACAAAAUUAGAGGACGUCUAACUUGUUUUUGCAGGGUAUGCUUGUGAUGUGAUAUGGCCAAUGAUGUGAUGUGAUAUAUUGGAUGUAUGAGAUGAUCAUAUUGUAAUAGAAAUAUCGACUUGCACGUCGAUGGUACGGCAACCGGCAGGAGCCAUAGGGUUGUCUUUAUACUAACGUUUGUGCUUGCAGAUGCGUUUACUAUUUUGGUAGGAUGUAGCUUUAGUAGUAAUAGCAUGAGUAGCACGACAACCCCGAUGGCAACACGUUGAUGGAGAUCAUGGUGUGGCGCCGGUGACAAGAAGAUCGUGCCGGUGCUUUGGNNNNNNNNNNNNNNNNNNNNNNNNNNNNNNNNNNNNNNNNNNNNNNNNNNNNNNNNNNNNNNNNNNNNNNNNNNNNNNNNNNNNNNNNNNNNNNNNNNNNGCAUCGACGUAACCUUUUACGGCGAGCUCUUCGUCACCUCCAUACACGAGAAACAUCUCCUUAGUCCUUUUCAGGUACUUUAGGAUAUUCUUGACCGCUGUCCAGUGAUCCACUCCUGGAUUACUCUGGAACCUACCUGCCAUACUUAUGGCCAGGCUAACAUUCGGUCUAGUGCACAGCAUCGCAUACAUGAUAGAACCUAUGGCUGAAGCAUAGGGGACGGAGCGCAUAUGCUCUCUAUCUUCAUCAGUUGCUGGGCACUGAGUCUUACUCAAUCUUGUACCUUGUAAAACUGGCAAGAACCCUUUCUUGGACUGUUCCAUUUUGAACCUUUUCAAAACUUUAUCAAGGUAUGUGCUUUGUGAAAGUCCUAUCAGGCGUUUUGAUCUAUCCCUAUAGAUCUUAAUGCCUAGAAUGUAAGCAGCUUCUCCUAGGUCCUUCAUAGAGAAACUUUUAUUCAAGUAACCUUUUAUGCUCUCCAAAAGCUCUAUGUUGUUUCCAAUCAGUAAUAUGUCAUCCACAUAUAAUAUUAGAAACGCCACAGAGCUCCCACUCACUUUCUUGUAAAUACAAGAUUCUCCAACCACUUGUAUAAACCCAAAUGCUUUGAUCACCUCAUCAAAGCGUUUGUUCCAACUCCGAGAUGCUUGCACCAGUCCAUAAAUGGAUCGCUGGAGCUUGCACACUUUGUCAGCAUUUUUAGGAUCGACAAAACCUUCGGGUUGCAUCAUAUACAACUCUUCCUUAAGGAAACCGUUAAGGAACGCCGUUUUGACAUCCAUCUGCCAGAUUUCAUAAUCGAAAAAUGCAGCUAUUGCUAACAUGAUUCUGACGGACUUAAGCAUUGCCACGGGAGAGAAAGUCUCAUCGUAGUCAAUUCCUGGAACUUGUGAAAAACCCUUUGCCACAAGUCGAGCUUUAUAAACGGUCACAUUACCGUCAGCGUCCGUCUUCUUCUUAAAGAUCCAUUUGUUCUGAAUAGCCUUGCGGCCCUCAGGUAGUAUCUCCAAAGUCCACACUUUGUUCUCAUACAUGGAUCCUAUCUCGGAUUUCAUGGCUUAUAGCCAUUUGUUGGAAUCUGGGCCCACCAUUGCUUCUUCAUAAUUUGCAGGUUCAUUGUUGUCUAACAACAUGAUUGAUAAGACGGGAUUACCGUACCACUCUGGAGCAGCGCGUGAUCUCGUCGACCUGCGUGGUUCAACAGAAACUUGAACUGGAGUUUCAUGAUCAUCAUCAUUAACUUCCUCCUCAACCGGCGUCGCAAUGACAGAGGUUUCCCCUUGCCCUGCGCCACCAUCCAGAGGGAUGAGAGGUUCGACAACCUCGUCAAGUUCUAUCUUCCUCCCACUCAAUUCUCUCGAGAGAAACUCCUUCUCGAGAAAAGUUCCGUUCUUAGCAACAAACACUUUGCCCUCGGAUUUGAGAUAGAAGGUGUACCCAACUGUCUCUUUUGGGUAACCUAUGAAGACACAUUUUUCCGCUUUGGGUUCCAGCUUUUCAGGCUGAAGCUUUUUGACAUAAGCAUCACAUCCCCAAACUUUAAGAAACGACAACUUUGGUCUUUUGCCAUACCACAGUUCGUAUGGUGCCGUCUCAACGGAUUUUGAUGGUGCCCUAUUUAAAGUGAAUGCAGCUGUUUCUAAUGCAUAACCCCAAAAUGAUAACGGCAAAUCAGUAAGAGACAUCAUAGAUCGCACCAUCUCUAACAAAGUACGAUUACGACGUUCGGACACACCAUUACGCUGUGGUGUUCCAGGCGGUGUUAACUGCGAAACAAUUCCACAUUGUCUUAAGUGAGCACCAAACUCGAAACUCAGAUAUUCACCCCCACGAUCAGACCGUAGGAACUUGAUCUUCUUGUUACGAUGAUUUUCCACUUCACUCUGAAAUUGCUUGAACUUUUCAAAUGUUUCAGACUUGUGCUUCAUCAAGUAGACAUAACCAUAUCUACUUAAAUCGUCAGUGAAGGUGAGGAAAUAACGAUAUCCGCCGCGUGCCUCUACGCUCAUUGGACCACACACAUCGGUAUGUAUGAUUUCCAACAAGUCACUUGCACGCUCCAUUGUUCCGGAGAACGGAGUUUUAGUCAUCUUGCCCAUAAGGCAUGGUUCGCACGUGUCAAGUGAAUCGAAGUCAAGUGACUCCAAAAGUCCAUCAGCAUGGAGUUUCUUCAUGCGCUUUACACCAAUAUGACCUAAACGGCAGUGCCACAAAAAUAUGGCGCUAUCAUUGUUUACUCUAACUCUUUUGGUCUCAAUGUUAUGUAUAUGCGUAUCGCUAUCAAGAUUCAAUAUGAACAAUCCUCUCACAUUCGGUGCAUGACCAUAAAAGAUGUUACUCAUAGAAAUAGAACAACCAUUAUUCUCAGACUUAAAAGAGUAACCGUCUCGCAAUAAACAAGAUCCAGAUAUAAUGUUCAUGCUCAACGCAGGCACUAAGUAACAAUGAUUUAAGUUCAUCACUAAUCCCGAUGGUAGCUGAAGUGACACUGUGCCGACGGCGAUUGCAUCAACCUUGGAACCAUUUCCUACGCGCAUCGUCACUUCGUCUUUUGCCAGCCUUCGCCUAUUCCGCAUUUCCUGUUUCGAGUUGCAAAUAUGAGCAACAGAACCGGUAUCAAAUACCCAGGCACUACUACGAGAGCUAGUUAAGUACACAUCAAUAACAUGUAUAUCAAAUAUACCUGAUUUUUCUUUGCCUGCCUUCUUAUCUGCCAGAUACUUGGGGCAAUUGCGCUUCCAGUGACCCAUACCCUUGCAAUAGAAGCACUCUGUUUCAGGCUUAGGUCCAGCCUUGGGUUUCUUCGGCGGAUUGGCAACAGGCUUGCCGCUCUUCAUCGAAUUGCCCUUCUUGCCUUUGCCGUUUCUCUUGAGACUAGUGGUCUUGCUCACCAUCAACUCUUGAUGCUCUUUACGGAGUUCAGACUCUGCGACUUUCAGCAUCGCAAACAACUCGCCGGGAGACUUGUUCAUCCCUUGCAUGUUGUAGUUCAACACAAAGCCUUUAUAGCUUGGCGGCAGUGAUUGAAGGAUUCUAUCAGUGAUAGCUUCUUGCGGGAGUUAAAUCCCCAGUUCAGCUAGACGGUUUCAGUACCCAGACAUUUUGAGCACAUGUUCACUGACAGACGAGUUUUCCUCCAUCUUGCAAGCAUAGAAUUUAUCGGAGGUCUCAUACCUCUCGAUCCGGGCGUUCUUCUGAAAGAUAAACUUCAACUCCUGGAACAUCUCAAAUGCUCCAUGACGCUCAAAGCAACGUUAAAGUCCCGGUUCUAAGCCAUACAAGACUGCACAUUGAACUAUUGAGUAGUCCUCCUUACGCGCUAACCAAGCGUUCUUAACAUCCUGAUCAGCCGUAGCGGGUGGUUCAUCUCCUAGCGCAGCAUUAAGGACAUAAUCCUUCUUCCCAGCUUGUAAGAUUAGCUUAAGAUUACGAGCCCAGUCUACAAAGUUGCUUCCAUCAUCUUUCAACUUAGCUUUCUCUAGGAACGUAUUAAAAUUCAGGAUGAUACUUGCGUGAGCCAUGAUCUACAACACAAAUAUAUUCAAAGUGGACUUAGACUAUGUUCAAGAUAAUUAGAGUUCAACUUAAUCAAAUUAUAUGCUAAACUCCCACUCAAAAAAUACAUCUCUCUAGUCAUUUGAGUGGUUCAUGAUCCAUUUACACUAUCCCAAGUCCGAUCAUCACGUGAGUUGAGUAUAGUUUCAGUGGUAAGCAUCACUAUGCUAAUCAUAUCAACUAUAUGAUUCAUGAUCGACCUUUCGGUCUCAUGUGUUCCGAGGCCAUGUCUGCACAUGCUAGGCUCGUCAAGCUUAACCCGAGUGUUCCGCGUGCGCAACUGUUUUGCACCCAUUGUAUGUGAACGUUGAGUCUAUCACACCCGAUCAUCACGUGGUGUCUCGAAACGACGAACUGUAGCAACGGUGCACAGUCGGGGAGAACACAAUUUCGUCUUGAAAUUUUAGUGAGAGAUCACCUCAUAAUGCUACCGUCGUUCUAAGCAAAAUAAGGUGCAUAAAAGGAUUAACAUCACAUGCAAUUCAUAAGUGACAUGAUAUGGCCAUCAUCAUGUGCUUCUUGAUCUCCAUCACCAAAGCACCAACACGAUCUUCUUGUCAUCGGCGCCACACCAUGAUCAUCCAUCAACGUGUUGCCAUCGGGGUUGUCGUGCUACUUAUGCUAUUACUACUAAAGCUACAUCCUAGCAAAAUAAUAAACGCAUCUGCAAGCACAAACGUUAGUAUAAAGACAACCCUAUGGCUCCUGCCGGUUGCCGUACCAUCGACGUGCAAGUCGAUAUUUCUAUUACAACAUGAUCAUCUCAUACAUCCAAUAUAUCAUAUCACAUCAUUGGCCAUAUCACAUCACAAUCAUACCCUGCAAAAACAAGUUAGACGUCCUCUAAUUUUGUUGUUGCAUGUUUUACGUGGUGACCAAGGGUAUCUAAUAGGAUCGCAUCUUACUUACGCAAACACCACAACGGAGAUAUAUGAGUUGCUAUUUAACCUCAUCCAAGGACCUCCUCGGUCAAAUCCGAUUCAACUAAAGUUGGAGAAACCGUCACUUGCCAGUCAUCUUUGAGCAAAGGGGGUUACUCGUAACGAUGAAACCAGUCUCUCGUAAGCGUACGAGUAAUGUUGGUCCAAGCCGCUUCAAUCCAACAAUACCGCGGAAUCAAGAAAAGACUAAGGAGGGCAGCAAAACGCACAUCACCGCCCACAUAAACUUUUGUGUUCUACUCGAGAAGACAUCUACGCAUGAACCUAGCUCAUGAUGCCACUGUUGGGGAACGUUUCAUGGAAAAAAAAAAUCCUACGCGCACGAAGACCUAUCAUGGUGAUGUCCAUCUACGAGAGGGGAUGAGUGAUCUACGUACCCUUGUAGAUCGUACAGCAGAAGUGUUAAAGAACGCGGUUGAUGUAGUGGAACGUCCUCACGUCCAUCGAUCCGCCCAGCGAACAAUCCCGCGAUCAGUCCCACGAUCUAGUACCGAACGGACGGCACCUCCGCGUUCAGCACACGUACAGCUCGACGAUGAUCUCGGCCUUCUUGAUCCAGCAAGAGAGACGGAGAGGUAGAAGAGUUCUCCGGCAGCGUGACGGCGCUCCGGAGGUUGGUGAUGAUCUUGUCUCAGCAGGGCUCCGCCCGAGCUCCGCAGAAACGCGAUCUAGAGGAAAAACUAUGGAGGUAUGUGGUCGGGCAGCCGUGAGAAAGUCGUCUCAAAUCUGCCCUAAAAGCUCCAUAUAUAUAGGAGGAGGGAGGGGGACCUUGCCUUGGGGUCCAAGGGACCCUCAAGGGGUCGGCCGAGCCAAGGGGGGGAGGACUCCCCCCCCAAACCGAGUUGGACUUGGUUUGGUGGGAGGAGUCCCCCUCCCUUCCCACUUCCUCCCUCUUUUUUUUUUAUUUUCCUUUGAUUUCUUUUUCUUGGCGCAUAGGCCCACUUGGGGCUGUCCCACCAGCCCUCUAAGGGCUGGUGUGUCUCCCCAAAGCCUAUGGGCUUCCCCGGGGUGGGUUGCCCCCCCCCCCCCGGGGAACUCCCGGAACCCCUUCGUCCUUCCCGGUACAUUCCCGGUAACUCCGAAAACCUUCCGGUAAUCAAAUGAGGUCAUCCUAUAUAUCAAUCUUCGUUUCCGGACCAUUCCGGAAACCCUCGUGACGUCCGUGAUCUCAUCCGGUACUCCGAACAACAUUCAGUAACCAACCAUAUAACUCAAAUACGCAUAAAACAACGUCGAACCUUAAGUGUGCAGACCCUGCGGGUUCGAGAACUAUGUAGACAUGACCCGAGAGACUCCUCGGUCAAUAUCCAAUAGCGGGACCUGGAUGCCCAUAUUGGAUCCUACAUAUUCUACGAAGAUCUUAUCGUUUGAACCUCAGUGCCAAGGAUUCGUAUAAUCCCGUAUGUCAUUCCCUUUGUCCUUCGGUAUGUUACUUUCCCGAGAUUCGAUCGUCAGUAUCCGCAUACCUAUUUCAAUCUCGUUUACCGGCAAGUCUCUUUACUCGUUCCGUAAUACAAGAUCCCACAACUUACACUAAGUUACAUUGCUUGCAAGGCUUAUGUGUGAUGCUGUAUUACCGAGUGGGCCCCGAGAUACCUCUCCGUCACACGGAGUGACAAAUCCCUGUCUUGAUCCAUACUAACUCAACUAACACCUUCGGAGAUACCUGUAGAGCAUCUUUAUAGUCACCCAGUUACGUUGCAACGUUUGAUACACACAAAGCAUUCCUCCGGUGUCAGUGAGUUAUAUGAUCUCAUGGUCAUAGGAAUAAAUACUUGACACGCAGAAAACAGUAGCAACAAAAUGACACGAUCAACAUGCUACGUCUAUUAGUUUGGGUCUAGUCCAUCACGUGAUUCUCCCAAUGACGUGAUCCAGUUAUCAAGCAACAACACCUUGUUCAUAAUCAGAAGACACUGACUAUCAUCGAUCAACUGGCUAGCCAACUAGAGGCAUGCUAGGGACGGAGUUUCGUCUAUGUAUCCACACAUGUAAAUGAGUCUUCAUUCAAUACAAUUAUAGCAUGGAUAAUAAACUAUUAUCUUGAUACAGGAAUUAUAAUAAUAACUAUACAUUUAUUAUUGCCUCUAGGGCAUAAUUCCAACAUAAACGCACCACAAUGCUAAUUAUGCUACUUGAAAGUUAGAGGCUCAAUAGUAAUGGGCCGUACGCCAAGACAAGUAGACCGUUUAUUCAUCAGCAUCUACUUACUAAUCAUCCACCUUGAGAUAUCUAUCCAGAACAUCUCGCUGGUAUUAAGUUGCGAGCCCCACCCAAAGUGUAAACUCAAAGCAACGGACAACUGCAUUAACGAACUAUGCAUAAGGUACACAAUCCUUGCAACUGUGGUCACAAGCACCGUUGUUUUCUCCCUGGUGGCAACACCACAUCCCCUAGUCUCAUGUUUCUGUGACUCAAGCUAGACAUCAGGGGGCACGAACCCACAAUCAUGCAUAACGCUCCCUCUUGGAGUAACAAUCUACUACUCGGCCAUAGCAAUAAAGAGCAAUAGAGAACAUGCAUGAAUCACUAAGGGACAUAAUAUAAAAGGAUAAUCAAAUAUAUAACUCAUAAAAAUCUGAACAUAAUCUAUCGGAUCCCAACAAACCGAGCAAUAGCAAUAGCAAGAAAAUUACAUAGAUGCCUUGAUCAUGAUUGGAGAGAAGACAUCACAUAGCUACUGGUCAUGGACUCAUGGUCCAAGGAGGACUACUCACGGCACGCCCGGGAAGCGUCCAUGGCAGUGGAGAAGCUCCCGGAGGUCAAUCCUCCCUCUGGCAGGGUGUCGGGAAGAGUACUCCUGACCCUCCCGAUCUCAGAGGCGUUGCGGCAACGGAACGAUGGAGAAAUUAGCGAUUCUGGAUGUUGUGGAAGGGUUUCCUCGCGGAGGAGUAAAUAUAGGCCAAAGGAGGACGUCAGAAGAGGUGGGGUCCACCCAGGCGGCUUGUGGGCGCGGCCAGGGGCCAGGCCGCGCCGGGAGGUCGUCUGGGCAGGCCCUGGCCCAUCUUCGAUGAACUGGAAGCUUCCAUUACGCUGUUUUUAUAUAUUUUUCUCGGGAUUUUUGGUGCUCCGGAAAAUUGGAUAAAAGCCCUUGCAAAAAAGACAUUAGCACACAGAAACUGGCACUGGCUGCACUGAGUUAGUAGGUUAGUCCAAAUAUGUGUAAAAAGAUAUAAAAGUUUAGCAAAACAUAUAACAAUGUCACCCAAAAGAUCAUCAAACAAGCAGAAAUUAUAGAUAUGUUUGGGACGUAUCAAUGAGCUAGUUUAAUAGAGGCGCACUAGGGAGACGGUGUUGUCUAUGUAUCCACACAUGUAUUUAUUAUGAUAAUAACUAAUUUAUUAUUUCCUCUAGGGCAUAUUUCCAACAAACAUACCCUACAAAAGAAAGUUAGACGUCCUCUACUUUGUUGUUGCAAGUUUUACGUGGCUGCUAUGGGAAACUAUCAAGAACCGUUCUUACCUACGCAAAGCCAAAAUGGUGACAAUCAAGUUGCAUUUUAACCUUAUACAAGGACCCCUUUUGUCGAAGCCGAUUCAACUAAAGUUGGAGAUACAGAUACCCACCAUCCACCUUUAUGCAAAAAAAAUUGCAUGUCAAUAGGUGGAACCAGUCUCUUGUGUGAGGACAAGUAAGGUUCGUCAGAGCCGAUUCAUCCCAAAAUUCUACUGAAUCAAAAUAAGACGUGGGAUGCAAGAAAUUUGAACAUAAACGCCCACAAGUUCUUUGUGUUCUACUCGUGCAUAUCAUCUAUGGAUAGACCUAGCUCAUGAUGCCACUAUUGGGGACCGUUGCAUGGGAAACAAAAAAUUUACUAUGAACUCCCAAGAUAUAUAUAUAGAGAUGCAUCACAACAAGAGCGGAGAGUGUGUCUACGUACCCUCGUAGACCAUUAAGCAUAACCAUAUAUUAUGUGGUUGAUGUGGUCGUACUCUUCAUGAUCCAACCUGAUCCAGCGCCAAACACACGACACCUCUGUGUUCAGCACACGUGCGGCUCGACGAUGUCUCUGUCUCCUUGAUCUAGCAGGUGAAGGCGGACAAGUAGAUGGGAUCUUGACCAUCACGACUAUGUCGUGGAGAUGGUGGUGGAGUAGUGCCGACAGGGUUUCGUUGUGCGCUACUGAAACUAUGAAUGGAGGAUCAACAAAGUAACGGGGGAGAGGGGGCACCAAGGGGCUGGUGUGUCCUCUUGGGGCGCCCCUCCCCUCUAUAUAUAGGUGGAGUGGCGUGGUGGCAAGCCCUCCAAGCCCUAGGGGCGAACCAAGGGGGAGGAGUUGGACACCUAGUCCAACUCCCUCCUUUCCAGACACGGGUGGACUUUUCCACCUUUCCCAGCCGCAUGGGCUUUGAGGGACUUGUGCGCUUGGCCCGAUUAGGCCACGGAUCCUCCCCUCAGUUCAUGUCGACCCUUGGGACAUGGUGGAGUCCUUGGUGGACUUCGGGACUCCUCCAGAAGUUUUAGGAACCUUCUCGAAGCUUCCUUCUACAAUACGAAAAAAACUAAAACUUUUCCCGGAACCCUGAAAACAACUUUUCAUAUAUAAAUCUUUACCUUCGGACCAUUUCGGAGCUCCUAGUCAUGUUUGUGAUCUCAUACGAGACUCCAAACAAUAUUCGGUCACCAAUAUACAUAACCCAAUAAUAUUAUAUCAGCAUCGAACGUUAGGCGUGUGGAUCCUAUGGGUUUGAGAAUCAUGUAGACAUGAUCGAGACACCUCUCCGGUCAAUAACCAAUAGCGGGACCUCGAUUUCCAUAUUGGUUCCUAGAUAUUGCACGAAGAUCUUCAGCGAUCGAUCCAUGAUGCCAAGGAUUCAAUCAAUCUCGUAUGCAGUUCCCUUUGUCUAUUGGUAUGUUACUUGCGCGAGAUUAGAUCAUCGAUAUCUCCAUACCUAGUUCAGUCUCUUUACCAGCAGGUCUCUUUACUUGUUUCAUAAUACGAGAUACCGCGACUAACUCCUUAGUCACAUUUCUUGCAAGCUUCUUGUGAUGUUGUAUUACCCAGAGGGCCGAGAGAUACCUCUCCGUCAUACGGCGUGACAAAUCCAAAUCUCGAUCCAUGCCAACCCAACAGACACCUUUGGUGAUGCAUGUAGAGUACCCUUAUGAUCACCCAAUUAUGAAGUGAUGUUUGAUACACACAAGGCAUUCCUCCGGUGUCACGGAGUUGCAUGGUCUCAUGGUCUUAGAAAUAGAUACUUGACAUGAACAAAGCGAUAGCGGCAAACUAAGUGAUAUGAUCAAAUGUUAUGCUUACGGUUAGGUCUUGUCCAUCAUAUCAUUCUCCUAAUGAUGUGAACCCAUUAUCAAAUGACAGCUCAUGUGUAUGGUUAGGAAACCUUAAUGAUCCUUGAUCAACGAGCUAGUCUAGUAGAGGCUCACUAGGGACACAGUGUUGUUUAUAUAUCCACACAUGUAUUUAAGUUUUCGGUCAAUACAAUUCUAGCAUGGAUAAUAAAUGUUUAUCAUGAACAAGGAAAUAUGAUAAUAACCAAUUUAGUAUUGCAUCUAGGGCAUAUUUCCAAUAGUACUACCGUGAUACCGAGCGGUACUACCGCAGAUCAUAGAAAAACUGUCGUGGCACUAAAAUUGCCAUAACUUUCACAUACGAGCUCCGAAUUGAGCAGACUCAAGCUUGUUGGAUAGAGUACAACAAGUACUAUCCAAAAGUGACAAUAGAAAAAUGAUGAACCAUCGAAAACUUGAUAGAAGAUUCGUAUGAACUUCGUUUUCGAUGAACCCAAGCUUGUCAUGAAGAUAACCAUAAGCACUAAGACCCACAAAGAUAAAAGCCAAACAAGAAUAAAGAAAGAUGAUGAUGCCAAUAAUGCAAUAGUUUGAUCUCUCUAUGAAUGAUAAGAUCAAGCUACUUACUUGAGAGCGCCCCUUGAAAGUACAACAAUCGAUCCUAUAACCCGGCCUCCCAACUACCACCAUGACAUCGCUAAAGUAGAAAAUGUAUCAAGGGCAAACAUUUGACUUGAGCAUAGUCCACUUGAUCUAGAUGAUGAUGAUCUUGUCCUCCUCAAGAUGGACGACAUUUCUUGAUUGCGUCGGCUCGAUGAAGACUAGUAGAUUGCUCCCUCAUAGUCCACUAUGGGUGAGAAAUCUACUAGUCUUCCAUCUUGGGUGAGCAAUACACUUCUUUCUUGAAGUCCAUUUCUUGGUUUCAAGGAGUUUAUGUGAUGACCAAGGUGGUAUUCUAGGAUUUAUCCAAAGAUUGGUCAUGUGAGAGUUGAGCUUAUUGCAAGCAUGUCUUAAAGAAGUGUAUUGUGUGAACAUUCAUGUUUACCUUCAAGACAUCAUCUUUAUAGAGAGAAGGUAAGUCUCAAGGUUGAUCAAGACUAAGUCAAAGAGUGGAUCAAGUUGAUCAACACACCAAGCGUACAUGAUGUACCAAGAGGGAUCAAGUGAUCCCAUGGUACGGUAAGCAUUGCCCAUUAUGCUUUGUGUACUAACCCAUGGUCUAUGUGAGAGUUCUGUGUGGGGUUAGGUAUGUGUCCAUGGGAUUGCGUCAAGAGGAAGAUCUCAUACAACCGAUGGAGGAUGCCAUAAAGUGGUGAUCUUCAUCAAGUUUGUGGUGUGCAAUUUCAAGUGGAGCUUCACGAAGAGAUCAUGCUUGAAACUUGUUGUCCAUUCUGGUGACAAUGGACUUGUGAAGAUGUGUCGGAGAGUGGCUCACUGAUACGUCUCCAACGCAUCUAUAAUUUUUUAUGGUUUCAUGCUAUUAUCUUGUCAAACUUUGGAUGUUUUGCAUGCUUUUUAUUUAUUUUCUGGGACUAACUUAUUAACUCAGUGCCAAGUGCGAGUUCCUGUUUUUUCCAUGUUUUUGACCCCUUUCAGAGAGAUUUUGAAACGGAGUCCAAACGGAAGAAAAUCCUCGAAAAUAUAUUUUUUGGAACGGAAGAAGAUCGGAGAACUUGGGAGACAAGCCAGAGGAGCUCCAGGGGCCCCACAAGCCCCCACCCCGCGGCCAGGGGGCGCGCCAUCCAGGCGUGUGGGCCUCGUGGAGGUCCCCUGACCUAGAUCUUUUGCCUAUAUAAUCACAUAAAUUCCAGAAAAAAUCAAGAGAUCAUCGCAAUCGCUUUCCGCCGCCGCAAGCUUCUGUCUCUGCAAGAUCCCAUCUGGGGCACAUCCCGGUGCCCUGCCGGAGGGGGGAUUCGGAUACGGAAGGCUUCUUCAUCAACACCAUGACCUCUUCGAUGAUGCGUGAGUAGUUCACCAUAGACCUACGGGUCCAUAGCUAGUAACUAGAUGGCUUCUUCUCUCUCUUGGAUCUUCAAUACAAAGUUCUCCAUGAUCUUCAUGGAGAUCUAUCCAAUGUAAUCUUCUUUUGCGAUGUGUUUGUCGAGAUCCGAUGAAUUGUGGAUUUAUGAUCAAAUUAUGUAUGAAUCUUAUUUGAGUUUCUUCUGAUCUCUCUUAUGCAUGAUUUCAUAUCCUUGUAAUUCUCUUUGAGUUGUGGGUUUUGUCUGGCCAACUAGAUCUAUGAUUCUUGCAAUGGGAGAAGUGCUUGGUUUUGGGUUCAUACCGUGCGGUGACCUCACCCAGUGACAGAAGGGGUAGCGAGGCACGCAUCGUGUUGUUGGCAUCAAGGGUUAAAUAUGGGGUUUUCAUCAUUGGUUUGAGAUUAUCCCUCUACAUAAUGGCAUCUUGCUUAAAGUGUUACUAUGUUCGUCAUGAACUCAAUACACUAGAUGCAUGCUAGAUAGCGGUCGAUGUGUGGAGUAAUAGUAGUAGAUGCAGAAAGUAUCGGUCUACUUGUCUCGGACGUGAUGCCUAUAUGCAUGAUCAUUGCCUUAGAUAUCGUCAUGACUUUGCGCGGUUCUAUCAAUUGCUCGACAGUAAUUUGUUCACCCACCGUGAUAUUUGCUAUUAUGAGAGAAGCCUCUAGUGAACACUAUGGCCCCUAGGGUCUACUCCACACCAUAUUUUCAGCCUUACACUUUUUAUUUCGUUGCACUUUCCGCCUUCAUAUCUCACUUUGCAAACAAUCUUGAAGGGAUUGACAACCCCUUUGAAGCGUUGGGUGCAAGCUUGUUUGUGUUUGCGCAAGUACUUUGGACUUGACGAGGCCCUCCUUCUGGAUCGAUACCUUGGUUCUCAAACUGAGGGAAAUACUUACUGCUCCUGUGCGGCAUCACCCUUUCCUCUUCAAGGAAAAACUGACACAGACCAGAAAAGUAACAAGAAGAAUUCCUAAGCGCCACAGAAGGACUUUUGUUGCUGCAUCACUCACCCAUAGUGGAGUAUGAGGGAGCAAUCUACUAGUCUUCAUCAAGUCGGCGCAAUCAAGAAAGGUGGUCCAUAUUAAGGAGGACAAGAUCGUCAUCAUCUAGCUCAAGCGGACUAUGUGCAAGGCAAAGGUUUGCCCUUGAUAGGUUUUCUAUUUUACUUGUCUCAUGAUGGUAGUUGGGAGACCGGUUUAUAGAAUCAAUUGUCGUGCUAUCAAGGGGGGAUCUCAAGUGAGUAGCUUGGUUGUAUCAUUCAUUGAGAUCUCAAACCAUUUGCAUCCUUGCAUCAUAUUUAUUGGAUCUUGUUUGGUGCUUCUCUUUGUGAGUUUUAGAGCUUAUGGUCAUCUACAUGAUAAGCUCAAGUUCAUCAAAAACAGACUUCAUAUGCAGCUUCUAUGAUGUUUUUGAAGUUGGAGUUUAUGUCGGUGCUUCUCUAGAUGGAGGUUUAAAUCCUCUAUAUCAUAGGCUUACUCCCCUUGCCUCUACUUAAUAUAACUAGCUUGAGAUUGCUCAAUUCGGAGCUCAUUUGCAGAAGUUAUGGCAGUUCUCUUGUUCAUGCAUUCAUCUGUUUCUUAUGUUCUGUUCGUGAAGGAAACAAGUGGUUGUACCAUGCUCGUCAGCGGUAGUACCGCCUACAGCCUAAGAGGUAGUACAACUCUGAGUAAGCGGUAUUACCGUCCCCGGGCAGUAGUACCACUACCCAAUACCGUGCGCUGUAUCGCUGCAGUGAAGUCUCAACUUUUCGUCUCGGACUAGGCGGUUGUUGUGACGGUAGUACAACGUGGUAGUAUCACCUAUAAGCGGUAGUACCGCCCGCCACUACCAAUUAUCUACCUCCUAACCUUCUAGACUCAGAACUCUCAGCGGAGCACUGCCGCCCGAGCGGUAGCACCACUUGUGUGCGGGCUGAGGGUAUAACAGUUGUAUUUUCCCCUCCUAUAAAAGGGGGUCUUCUUCCCCAAUGGAUUGUAUCCUUUGAGCUUGUGUGCCCCCCCCACCAUUGACCUUCUUCGACCUUGUUAUCUUGCAAUCCCUCUAAUGAUUCUUGUUAUUUAUUGAGGGAAAAGAGAGAGUAGAUCUAGAUCUACGUUUCCACGAAUCACUUUCUCCUCUAUGUGAGGGGAACCCCUUGGAUCUCGAUCUUGGAGUUCUUUGCGAGCUCCUUGUUCUUCCUCUCAUAUUCCUCCAUAGCUUUUGUUGUUGUGGUGGGAUUUGAGUGUGAGGGACCUGGCCACUUUGUGUGUUCUUUCCAUUGCAUUAGCUGCAUCGGUUUGAGUUCUCCAUGGUGAUACGUGGAAGUGAAGUUUGAGAAGAGCCUUCAAGGGCACCACUAGUGAAAUCACGGGAUCUUGAAUUGUGCGAGGGCGUGAGGAGAUUACGGGGCCUCUAGUUGUUUAUUAGGGAGCAUUGUGCCUACACACCGCUUCAAAUGGAGAUUAGCAUCCGCAAGGGUGUGAACUUAGUGUAACUUCUCGUCUCUGCUUGCCUCGGUUAUGUUUUACCCGAUUCCUUUACUUAUGCACUUUACUUUGUGAUAGCCAUAUUGUUUCUUGUUAUAUAUCUUGAUACCACUUAGUUGUUUAUCUUGCUUAGCAUAAGUUGUUGCUGCACAUAGGCGAGCCUAGUUGUUUUAGAUUUUGUGCUUGACUAAUUAAAUGCUAGUUUUGUUCUGCAUGUGUUCAAGCCUAAACCGUAAUUAUUUUAAAGUGCCUACUCACCCCACACCUCUAGGCGACAUCCACCUGCUUUCACUAUGGACAAAUCCUUCGAAUAUAACUCAAGUUAACCAUUAGUCCAUAGGGAUUGCCAUCAAUUACCAAAACUAAACAUGGGGGCACAUUGUUCUAACACACAUGCUCUCUCACACAUAAGCCUCAUAAUAUCCAUCCUCAAAACAACCACCAUACCUACCUAUCAUGGCAUUUGCAUAGACAUUCCGAGAUAUAUUAUCAUGCAACUUCCAUUGUUACUACACAUGACUUGAGAAUUCACUGUCAUAUUGCUUUGCUUGAUCAUAUAGAGAUGACAUAAUAUUUGUAGCAAAGCCACAAAUUCAUCAUUGUAAUACAUGUUACACUAAAGUAUAUUUCUAGUCAUCAUAGUUUUUAUAUUUUUGAGUUGUAAGUAAAAUAAAGUGUGAUUCAUUAUUAGGGUGCGUCCUACUUGUGAGCAUAAAAAAGAAAAAAAUAUGCUAGAGAGCCCAAAGGGGUGUAAAGAAAAAAUGAGAGAGGGUGCGCAUCACUGUCCUCUUACCACAUUUGUGCUUCAAAGUAGCACUUCCACUUUGCAUCUUAUAUAGAGAGUCCUCAUGAUCUUCAUUUUCAUAUACCAGUGGGAAUUUUACAUUAUAGAAUUUGACUUGCAUAUUCUGAUGACAAGCUUCCUCAAAUGCUCGAGGCCUUCAUAAGCAAGUAAAUUGGAUGCAAACCCACUUAGUUUCAUAUAGAAAGUGUUCAUACAGUUGAAUCUCUAGUGCAUCGUUUGCAUGGCAAGCCCUGCCCCCCUCAUCAACAUCAAUUUUAAGGCAUCUCCAUUGUCUCAAUGAUUAAGCCUCAUUAAUGUGAGACUUUUUUAUACAUUUUGUCUUUCCUUAUAAACCCCUAUCAUCAUUCUCUUUGCCAUACUAAGUGUUAAAGACCUUGGCUCACGCUCAAGUAUUGUGAGAAAGUUUAAAAGGUUGAAGCGAGAAAAGGUAUGAUUUAAUUGCUUGGUUUGACACCAGGGUUGUUCUUAAUUUGAUACCUCUAUACUAGGAAGACUAAGAGUGACAUGUAUUUCGUGAUUAAGUGUGUAUAGAUCAUUUUCUUUAGCUUCAUUAUUUUGAAAGGCAAUGAUUAUCCAUUUGCAUGUUUAUGUAUUACUGUUUGGAUGUUAAAUUGAUAUAGUAUUGCCUUGAAUCGUUCGUAUCCCGAUAUCCAUACCAUGGUUACAUCAAUUGAUCAAGGACAUGUUAGGUAGCAUUCAUCAUAAAAAAUUGUUUUUGUUAUCAUUUACCUACUUGAGGACGAGUAGCAAUUGAGCUUGGGGAUGAUGGUACAUCUCCAACUUAUCAAAGCUUUCUUUGGCUUUGCUUAACCAUACUAAAAUCAAACCUUAUCAAAAUCUAGAAUAUGAUGGGUGUAAUAUAUAUGUCGAACACGUCUGAGAUUAAACCACUUUAAUAUAUAUGUCAUUGUUGGAACGCACAAUCAAUUAGCUAGUACAUACAAUUAAAGGGAGUUGGUACGUUUACCUCACCUCCUGUCGCAUCCCCAUACGUCAGUUUCCCUGCAUUAACUCAAUCAACUCAAAUCAAAUCUUACCAAAAACUCAACUAAUUAAAAUGUUUCGUCCCUUCCUACCAGCACCCAAAUCAAAUCAAAUCUUAUGAGAAACCUCUACUAAAUCAGAACUCUCGUUGCCUUUCCAUACCCAUAUUCAAAUCAGAUCAAAUAUUACCAAUAUCUAGAAUAUGGUGGAUUUAAGGUAAAUACCAUACAUGAUUGGUGAUGAACCAUUAGAAUAUGUAUGUCCUGUUGCAACACACUAACAAUUAGCUCGUAACUGAAAUAGGAAGGGUUACAAUUAAUUUUAAUACAAUACGUGAUGAAGGUGGGAAUCUAUCUCCUCCAAUCCUAUGUGGAUUGUUUGGCGCAUCGAUGGGUUGCUUCAUUAUCUUUCCUUUGCACAAAACACAACACACACCUAGUAAACCCUCCCAUGGGCUCUUUGAUUUUGUGGCAAAUGGUUGCAAUAACUGAUUCAUGUGAAUCACCAAAGUUGAAAAUUGUGACCACAUCAUCAGCAUCACGUUCCACGCAUAUCCUUCUGUAUCCCAUAUCUCUAGCAAGUAGUAGGCCGUAUAUGAUGUUAUAUACCUCCAUAACCUGAACACAAGCAAUGAUCGGUACUAGAUAGCAUGCACCCUUAUUAAUUUUCCUUCAAGGUGUUUGAUCACAAGGCCAAGGAACUCUUGCCCUUUCAUUAAUCCCUUGCACAUCUGUUAUUUACAUGGCAAGUCAUGCGUCUUUUUUCCCUUGGAUCUGUUCUUACUUUUGUUUUUGAUAUUUUAACAUGAUAAGAUCAAUGACAUCCAUAAUUUGGUUACUUUCCUUUUUAUAAACAUCAAACAUAUAAAUAAGUGUUGGUGUUUGACAAGGUUGCCUUAGGGAGAAAAAUGCAAAAUGUGAAUUUAUAGGAGGCAAAAAUACUCUUAUUUCUCUCAUCUAAUCACCCCUAAAAAGUCUUCACAAUUGUGUCCAAACUUUGUUGUGGGGUGGCGGAAGGGGAGGUGGCCCGUGUCGACAUGUGACUAGGUACACAUGUAUGCUUUUGUAGCUUUCGAGUGGUUCAUGCAAGUUCACUAAGGAUCAAAGUUGCUAAGUAAGAUCAUAAACAACGACCAAACUACAAAAACGAUUGAUUGAUUACAAACUUAUUUGAUAGGAGUGUCCUUACCACAACUUUUUUAUCUAUCAGGAUGACAAAUGAAAAUGAAUACUACGAAAAAUACUACAAUCACCAUCUCAAAAUGCCCUGUGUUUUAUUACAAUCAUUAUUGUAGUUUUUAAAGAUGGUGGUAUUUAAUGACAACAACAAAUGCUAAAGUUUAGUGACAUUCUAGUGUUUACAAUAAUUUGCAUUGAAAAUGAAUCCCAAGUUUGGUCUUUGUAGUGUGGUCCUCGUUCACAACUCCAAAAAUAUGUUUAUCUAAUUUCAUUUAGUUUGGCGUUAGAUAGAGGCUAACUGUUUUGAUACCAGUUUGGCAUUGUCAACAUUUGACAGAAUCAGAUGUUGUAAAAAAUGGCAACUUUUUUUAUAGAUUCACAAGAAUCAAUUGGCAGCCAACCAAUUGAUAGCCAAUUUUCUUAUACUUACCAAAAGUUGGAAUGCCAAAUAUUGGCAUCAAACGAGUUAGACAUGUAGAUCCAAAAGUCUCAAUAGCAAAGAACAUGAUUUCAUUUUUUCUCAUUGCCUUUUCCCACAAGUCAACUCUCAUUGUUUGGAGGACCAAUUUUCUAAUUAUUUUGUGUGUGUGUGUGUGUGUUUUAUGUGUGGACUUCGAUGAUCUUAGGUUAUAUACAGAUACACGUAAAGCCUACUCAUCUUAUAGUUAUUUAAAAGAUACCAUUUGAUAAAUUGUCGUUCAAAUUGGCGAUGGCAUGUAGCUUCCUUCUCUCUAAAUCCAUAUUUUAGAGAUUAGUAGUAUAGUUUACCCGUAUGGUAAUAAUAAUUUAACAUAAGAUUUCAUCUUGAACAUCCAAAACAUUUUAUAUUUAAGAACCGAGGUGGGAAGACAUCUCAUCAAUUUGGUAGUGCCUUUGGCCUUGGUGUCGAGUACUUGCCGAUGUGACUAUCAAACGAUCAAUCUUCAAGAGCUGAUUGAAACAUUGUUUCAUGUUUAGAGUGAAAACUAAUGUUUCAACUUUUAUUGAUUGGGCGCGACGAACUUGCAUCAUUAUCUUAUCGAAGGCGUUAUCUACUAUUGUCGUACUAGUUUCGUUGACUGGUCUCGGUACGAGGAUGAAAACCCCUGUCUAGGCCAUAUAUGGUCGGAUGUGAAGAUGAUGACGCAUAUUUUUUUGAAGGUAUUUCUACGGAAGAAGUCGAUUUAGUCGUAGUUGUUUAUUUUAUAUCUGUUGAGGCACUGGUUACUUUUAGUCUACACUCUACUAAAUAAUUCAUAAAAAUGGAUGUGUACAUCGCUCGAUGCAUAGGUUGAAGAUUAUCCAUAUAAACAUGUGGAAUUAUUUGGAUUUUUUGAAACUUCAAAAUACCAUUUAAACACUAUUUAGAAUAUAGGACCCCAAUGCUUCGGUCCACCAAAGUGACUUUUUGUACUCCCUCCGUUUCUAAGUAUAAGUCUUUCUAGAGAUUUUAGUAGUAAACUAUAUAUGGAUGUAUAUAAACAUAUUUUAAAGUGUAGAUUCAAUUAUUUUGCUUCGUACGUAGUCCUCUAGUAAAAUCGCUUAAGAGAUUUAUAUUUAGGAACGGAGGGAGUACUACUUUUACGAUUUGGCAUGUCAGAGUCGUGAUGUUUUUACUACUUUUGUACAACUUUUACGAUUUUAUUUUUUGUACUACAUAUAGGACUCCAAAGUUUUGGAUUAAUUCUCUUUGGAGGAAUAGAUCCGCCUAGUGUCAAUCACCAACUUAGUUCCUUCAACGUCAAUUUUUGUAUGCUGGCACAAGGAAGUUUCCGCGUACGUAUAUAACGCAGAACAAUUUAGCAACGCGUGCAGUGGACAUCAAAGUGGAGAUGAUGCCUUCCACAAGAUACAAAACUCAGUACUUUUUUUUUUAUCAAUACAAAACUCAGUACUUGUCACCGUGGAAGAUCAAAAUGCCUUGUCAUGAAAUGAUUAAAUAGUGGAGGGCGCAGAUGCGCGAGCAUAAAAAGGGAAAAGGUAUAUGAAGUGCUGGAAAGUUUUGGGAGUACUGGAUGUCCCGAUAGGGCACCACCAUGCGGACGUGGUUGCUUUGACAAAUGAAGAAAAGACAUGCUCACGCCAAGAGGAUUGAAGCACUCCGGGCGCUCUAGAAAUAGGCCAUUGCUCCGUUUUACAAAUAAAGCACUUGAGAUGCUCCAUUCCCAUAUAUGAGUGAUUACUUCUAAAAACAAAUCAUGAAAUUAAAAAAAAAACACUAAAAUUUUAAGAUAUUAUUCCUGCGUGUUCAAUCUACUUCCUGGUUAAGUUUCGUGGAAAAAUAUCAGCAAACGUAUUCUCAAAAAAAAGGCUUUUUUUUAAUUCGUGAACUUUGAAGGAAGGCGGUUGGUUCUUUCCGUGAACCUGUAAAUUUAUAUUCCUGUGCAAGUGGUCUUCGAAGAUUCUACCUUAAAGUAUGCAUAGGUUUUGGGAAUUUCGAACUGUUUUUUAUUUCUUUUUUCCAAUCUUUUUUUAAUCCAUUUGUGGGUUCAAUUUUCUUUUUUAUUUUUAUUUUUCCAUUCUUUUUCGAAUUCAUGAAUUCUAUUUUUAAUCUUUCCAGUUUUAGUGUACUGACAUUUUUUACAUGUCAUGAUGUUUUUUAAAAUGAUUGUGCAAUCAUUUAUUUUAAUUUUAAAACAUUUAAGUGUUAUGAAUAUAUAUUUAAAAUGGCACAUGUAUUUUAUUUUGUAUGCCAUGAGCAUUCUUAGAAACUUCUACUAACAAGUUUGUACUUUUCAUGAAUAUUAUUUUUAAAUACACAUAACACUUACAAAAGUUGAACAUCUAAUAUUAUUAAACACGCAUUGAGUAUUUCUAAUACAUGUUGAACAUUUUUCAUAUACACGUUGAAAUUUUCUAAAAUAAAAUUUUAGCAUUAUUAUAAUCCAUUCUUUAAAAUUAUAUUUUCCACGAGACAUUCCUAAAGCAUAUGCACUAUUUUUUAUAAGGAACGGGCAUGAUUUAUAUGACAUUGUAUUUUUAGAAAGUAUCAAACAUAGUUCACUUUUUUAAAUUUCAUGGACAAUGGCAUAAAAUUCACUUUUUUGUGGAAUGAUACGAACAUUUUUAUAAAUGCAUGAACAUUUAUUAAAUGUUAUUUUUUUAAGAUGGGUGGACAAAUUUGUAAAUAAAUAUUAGCAUUUUUAAUAUAUAUUUUUUAUAUAAUUUAUAAAAAAUAUUAAGAAUGAAAAUAAUUGAGAGGAAAAUGUAUGUAGAUGCGUUAGAUCCGGCCAGAUGCAUGCCUGACUCGUGGGAUGGCCUAGCCCAUCUAACUAGGCGUUGGAGAUGAGGAGAUCUUGUGUCUUGCAAUAAACGAGAUAAAAAGUUCAACUAGCCCCCCUAUUGGAGGUGAGGAUAUCCUCUAGGCAUCGCCAUCGGAGCCCACAUAAACCUGUCAUCUCAUUCGAACGAGAAUCCUGUCAAUUUUGAGUGUGCAGGGGUGCUAACAUAGCGGAUCUCGCAAAGUUAAGAGACGGGGCAGGAAUAGAGGUAGGUAUAUGUGGAGCUCUUGCUUGUGUUUUUCAGUUUUAUUUUUGGGGUUUUGCAUGUUUUUUCUAUGUUUUUGUGAGCUUUUUUUAAAUUUAUGUGUUUCUUCGCGUGAAACAGCCAGUGUGAUUUUUUUCUUUUUCAAUAUUAAAUUUCCAAAGACACGCUGACCUUUUUUUCAUACAUGUUGUACAUUUUCUGUAUACAUGUGGAAGAUUUAUUGUUAGAUGGUAAAGAUCUUUCAAAUACAUAAUGAAUUAUUAUUUUUGAAUAUAUGUUAAACAUUUUUCAAGUAUACGCUUACCAGCUUUUUGAAUGGUAUGAAACUGUUUUUAAAACUACGUGAAUAUUCUUCCUUACAUUGAAUAUCAUGUUUUAGAAAUAUAGCAAACAUAUUUUUGGACCACAUGAAUAUUUAUUUCAAAUAUCACGAACGUUGUUUUGAAUGGUACUAAUAUUACGUGCUUUCUUACAUUUUAUAAACACUAGCAAAAGAGCCCGUGCGUUGCAAUGGAAGCAAACCAUACAACACGUCUUAACCUAAUAAUCAUGACUUGAGAUCUUUAUUUAAACUUACUGCAUAAAUAGAAUUUAAAGAAUGUUAAAUAAGUAAAAUAACAUCAUAUUUAGAUUAUACACAUCACUAUAGAUUCAAAUUACAUUAUAACUAGAAAUUUAAAAAUUAAAUAGGUAAGAUAUAUUAGAUUUCGAUUCAACACAUUUUUUGAAUGAAAGUUCAUAUGUAAUAAUUUAAAAUUAGAGUUACAGUUUAGAAGAUAUAAUUGUUUAUAGUAUUUGUUAAUUAUAAUUGGACCACGGAUUAAUUAACAACAUGGAUCGGCCUCGUUAUGAAAAAUGGAUUGUACGCUAUUGAUUAAAAUUACAGCAUAAAUAUUAUUUAAAAAUUAUUAAAUAAAUAAAAUUAUAUUAUAUUUAAAUUGUGCGCAUCACUAUUGAUUUAAACUACAUUAUAAACAGAAUUUUAAAAAAUUAAUAGAUAAACUAACAUUAUAUUCAGAUUUUACAUAUUUUUCUAAUAAAAUUUCAUAUAUAAUAAUGUAAAAUUGGAGUUACUGUUUAAAAGAUAUAUUUUUUUAAAGUAUUUUGCACUUAUAAUUUAACUACAGAUUAAUUAAUUUAAAAUUGUAGGAGUGUUUUCGAAAACAUACGGAAAAUGAUUGGUUUUUUUUACUCAAGUAUGUACUGCGGGUUUAUUUUAUGAAACUAAAGGAGGUUUCUACAAAAAAUUCAGAAAACGAUUCGUUCUCUCACUGUGUUAUGUACUGCGGGUUGAUUUCGAAAAAGCACAUGGGGUUUCCUGUAAAAACGAAAAAAACGAUUCAUCUCUCACUUAAAUCUGGACUGUGGGUUGAUUUUGGGAAACUUCAAGUUUUUUUUUGCAAAACGACCAUGACAGACGGAAGAAGCACUGCGUACUUUAUUAUUAGGGAGAGAUUUGAUAAAUGUAAUGGACAAUUAUUUGUACUACUUGAACAUUUUUCCUAUUUCAUGAACAUAUUUUUGAAAGAUACAAACAUAUCUUAAAAACUAGGUGAACAUCAUUUUUAUAUUGUAGUAACCUUUUAUUAAAGAUAGGGUCAAUGAUUUUUAAAACUUUAAGUAAAGUCAUCAAUUUUCUGUACAAACUUAAAUCAUUUCAGAAUAUAAACAAAAGUAAGAAAUAAAAAAAACAUGAAGAACAAAACACACAGCUUGGGACGCAAGUUUCAUGAUGAUGGGUCUGGCCCACUUAGGCCUGCGCACGCCUGUCGACUCGCUACAUGCAAAAGAAAGAUUCACCACGGCGUACCGUCCGACUCCCACACAGGAUGCUCUGCUCGGGACUGUGUCCGGUGAACCGGUGCAACUGGUGCUACCGGUGCACCAGACCACCGUUACAUAUUUUAAAAUAUUCGAAAAAAUCCAACAAAAAUUUAAUGCAUUGACACAACAUUAAUAUACGCUGUCACAAAAUUCAAAACAAUAUUCGAAACAUCACUUGAGAUAGAAAAAUAACAAAUUCGAUACUAAAUAAUACAUAACACAAGUUGGGCUCCAGGUUUGGCCCAUUAGUACAUUGAUGCCGAAUUUGUCAUUUUUAUAUCUUGAGCAAUGUUAAUAAUUUUGAUUUGAUUUUUUUGUGACAACAUACAAUGAUGUUAUGUAGAUGCAUUGAUUUUUUUCGAAACUUUUCAAACAUCUUAAAAUGUGUAAUGAUGGUCUGGUGCACCGGUAGCACCAAUUGCCCCGGUACACCAGAUACAUCCCCUGCUUUGAUUGGACCGACCAUGACAACAAUAUUGUAGCUGGAUAAAUUUGUCUUAUAUUUUUUGGUAGCGGACCGACUACAACAACUAUUAGAAUACUGUAGCUGGAUAAAUUUUGUAGCAGACCGACUACAAUAGCUUUUCUUAUAUUUUUUUAAACUAGCAUAUGCAUGUGCGUUGCAAAGGAAUAAUCGAAUGUGUAAAAUGUAAAAGUCAGGAUGUAUGGAUAAAAUAGAGUUAAAAAAACUUGCGAGAAUUUUUGAGCCCAAAACUUUUGCCGGCAUGUCUUCUAGUGUGGUGGUGCUCUCUGUAGUUUUUCUUAUUCAUCUAUAAUAAAUAGUCUUCCAUUUCAGUGAGGACAUACACAUGAGAUGGUAUUGGCAACUCCUUUUUUUACUGCGUUCUUCCUUCAUCGAGUAGCUCAGCCAGUCAGCCUCUCGAUCUUCCCAAUCCAAGCUCGCCACAGCUUAAAUAAAAACGACACAAAUAAAUAAGUACUCCCUCUAUAAACUAAAAUAAGACUGUUUAGAUUAUUAAAAUAGUAUUUUAAAUGCUUUUCUAUUAAUUUACGGAAGAAGUAUUUGCUAACUCCUAUAUCUGCAGAUGUAGUAACUGAGCCAGGGACGGAGCCAGGAAUUUGGUAUAGGGGGGGGCGAGUUCCACAAUUUAAAAGUGUGCAAAAGGCAUAAGUCUGAACUCAUGCUUUCACUGGUGUAAACACUACAAAAGUACUAGAUUUUUUUAAUUUUUUUCAAUACAAAAUGCUUCUCAAGUUAGCUAUAUAGAAAAUUUUAGUGUAUGGUACUAGAACUACGUGAUUCCAAAUCAAAUAGUACUAGAACUUUUAGACAAAAAAAACUACGAUUUGAAUCUAAGGAUAAUUGUGACAGUGGACUUAUCAUAUAGGAAUAUUAUAGGAUGUGGUACGUCGUCAGAUCCCUGGUCGUUCUUGGUGGUGGUGCUUUCCCUAAUCCUGUAUAUGUUGGGUGACCGUGAUAUGAUAGAUUGGGGAUUGCAGGCCUCAAGCUUUGGACGUAAAUAGCACAUAAGCAACUCCUUUUCAGUGUUCUCUUCCUCUUCAUAUCCAUACAAACAUAACUAAACAAUCAAGAAAUUCCUAAUUAACUUGUAAUCCUUGUAGGAUUUUAAUGGUACAGCCGUAAAGAUUUAAACGAAAUAAAAAGAAAGAGAUGAAGCAAUAGAGUAAGGGUUAACCUGAACCUAUGCAGUCAUGCUAAACCUCAAUCAGCCCUGAUCUUUGCUUGGAGGCAGGGGAAAAUUUCUCCCGGCGGCUGUAGGCGGAGACUCAAGCGGAUGAUGGAUAGAAACAUUGCACGAAGCCACGAUCUGGGUGAUGCUGCGGUCAAAUCUAUUGAUCGAGCUGUCAGGAAACAAAUGGGCUGUGUGCGUGCUUCUACUGGGUUUCACGUUUGACAGUGGGCCCUUUUUACUUUCCUAGGUUUUAGUUGUACAUGGGCUGGGGAUGGGUCCCUUAGGAGCUUCACUUUGUAUCCGCUAAAAAAACAUGGGGGGGGGGGGCAGAUCGAGCAAAAAGGAAUCGCUAAUUGCGAUCUGCCUAAUAGUUAACACUGGGCAACGUGAUCGUUGGGGGGGGGGAGGUGGUCUCUUCCCCCCUUGGAUCCGUGCCUGAACUGAGCUAGGCCCACAACACCGCUACUUAUUUGUGUGUGAUAAUGUGAAAGACAAUAAAACAUCGGAAAUUGUUUUUUGGAGCUGGGCCUCUAUGGUGGCCUUUAAAUUUGAAAUCCAAAAUACAUUAAAAUUCAUAUUUUUACAUUUCAAAUUUUUAAGGAAAAUACAGAGAUAAGUCAAUGCGUAACACACAUGUAUGUAAAUUUUUAGAAAAAAAACGUUCAAAUGAGGUCUGUACAGAAAAGACAAAUCCACAGCUUUUUAACACAUGAUACUAUUUAUAGUCCCAGGUCAUGAAUUUGUCUAUUUUGUGCAGAUCGUAUUUUAAGGUAAUUCAUUCUUAAACUCUACACACAUACACAUAACAUCCUUCUUUACUUGCAUAUUUUUUCAGAUUCUUUUGAAACCAAAAAAGAUUGAAAUUUGAUUUUUUCAAAAAUUUCAAGCUCCAUGGAGCUCGGCCUCCAAACGUCCAUUCUCAUAAAACUUGGUCUAUAAAACUAUACUCUCCUCUAUGUCUACACAUUCCUUUAUACAUAGUUCUCUUUCUCUCUCUCCUUUUAUAAUCCCACUACAAAGUAAUUUAGCAGCAGCAUUACGCGCACACACACUCCCCUUAAAGACACACACACGCAUGCACACACAGCCAGCAAUUUAGCAGCAGCACACACACAUGGAUAUUCUUUUUUCCAGUGUUCAUCUGGUCAACCAGGGACGCUCACGUCAGCGUGAACCCGCACCAAUGCAGUCGUGUGUGAUCGAUUGCUAGGCUGUCUAUUCCAUCCAGUCGAUAGAUACAUCAUUCCCUGAAAAAGAAGUUGGGCAUCUCUGGGAUCACAACCCUGUAACGAACAUUUGUUUUGUACUAUUUGAACAUUUUUCAGUUUCAUGAACAUAUUUUUGAAUGACAAGAACAUACUUUAAAAACUGCACCAACAAUAUUCCUAUACUGUAGUAACAUUUUAAAAAUAUGCGGUCAAUGGUUUUUAAAAUUUUAAGUAAAUCCAAUUUUUUAUACAUAUUUAAAUUAUUUCAGAAUAUAAGUAAAAGUAAGAAAACAAAAAAAAAACUUGAGGAGCAAAUACCAGCUUAUGACACUCGUCUUUUGCUGUUGGCCCAGGACCAUUUACGCUGGCGCGCGCCUAUUUGUCUCUCGUAUUCAAAAAUGUGCAUACAUUCCAAAACAAAUGCUCGCUAAUUCAAAAUUAAUGGAUGAACAUUUUUUGAACUUGAUGAAUUUUUCUACUCAAGAACAUCUUUCACUCAUUUAAAAUUAUUUGAUUAACAAAUUUUGCAUUCGAUGAACAUUUUUGAAAACGUUUGUGUCCAAAUUUUGAAUUUGAUGAACAUUUUAAAAAACUUACGCACCAAUUUAGAUUUUGACGAACAUUUUUUUAAUAUUAGAAUUUUUUUAAUAUGAUGAACAAUUUCUAAAUUCUAUGAACAAAAUUUAAAUCCGAUCAAAAAAAUUACGUGGUUGAUUUUUUUAAUCUGAUGAACAGAAUAAUGUUCGCGAAUUUUCAAAUAAAGAUUGAAUAAGUAAACAAUAAAAGUAUGAAAAAACUGAAAUGAUAAAAAAGAAAAUAAUAAAAGAAAGCGGGAACAACAAAAAGUCAAAAAAGAAACCCAGGUUGAGAGAUGGUUCAUACUGUAGAUUCCAGCGCGCCAGGGGGUUGCGCGCACGGUGGCUCUGUGCUGCCUUACGCGCCGUAUAGGAGCCACCGUUACUCGCCACUACAGCCGGCCUGCGACACGGCGAGUGCUUCGACUGGACCAGCUAUCAGACUACUGUAGCUAGAUAGCUUUGCAGCGGACUGACUACGCGCUUCUUUAACAUUCCUUUUUCCGCGGAAAAACCCUAAAAAAUUGUUUUUAAAAAGUGCUUCGUUUUUUGAAAUUUUGAUUUUUUUUACAAAACACUGAUAUUAUUAAAAUUUGUGAAUAUAUUUUGGAAAACACGAAAACAUCUUGUAAUUUUUCUUGGAAAGCGCGCUUUUCUGAAAAAUGUGAAUAGUUAUUUCAAAAAAAAUCGAAAACUAAUAAAAUUACAUUUUCUUUAAAAUUAAAUUAUUUCAUCGAAAAAUGAACAAAUAUUAUUUUUUGAACAUUUUUUCAAAACACAAAAAAUGUAUAAAAUUUUCAUUUUCUAAAAGCACAAACAAUUUAGAAAUUUGUAAAAAAAAUAAAAUAUAGAAAAAAGUUAGAAAUGGAAAAAACACAAAAAUAAAUACCAUACAAAAAAACUAUGGAGAUAGAAAACUGGUUGACAAACCAUGAUCCCUCAGCAUGUAACUAGCUCUAAAUGGGACAACCGAUCUAAAGUCUGUUACCCUAUAAAAACGGAACCUUAGCUCAAAAAAUUAAUAAUAUACAGAAAUAGAUCCUGAUAAGUACCUAACGUGUGGCACAGACACAUGAUAAUUCUGAAUAUGUUUUAGGGCAAGUUUGUGACGUGGGAAUGACAACUUUAAUUAUACAAAAUGGCAAUCAGGAUUGAAGUGCCACGCACGUGAUGUGGGACACUUAUCAUUUCCUGUCUUCUUUUGAGAAAAGACGUUUUUUAUUAACUUAAAAUGUAAUAUUGAGUGAAUACAAAGUAUAAAGAGUGACAUUCGAUUUUUAAAAUGCACACAACCAUCAAACCAAUAGCCUAACAAAUAAUAUAAAAACGAUAAAGUGGCAAUAGUAAAUUCAAAUUAGGCCGAACUAUGGCCAUGUCGACGGAGAUUAUGCUGUCACCCACGUUGGGUAAAAAACCUUCUUGACCAUCCGCUCCAAUUGCAUACACACCACUAAACAGCGAUUGUCGAUUGAUACUCCGUUCGAUGCAGAGUAAACCAGGUAAGAAGUCAAUGUGUACAAUGAUAAAUAAUGUGCAUAGGAGAAGAUAUUUUGCCAUUAAAAACAUAAUAAGUUUUACGUAGCCAAAACGACAUAGUGAGGCACAUGCUCCCACCUGUAUUAGUGUGCUAAAUGUGUUUGGUAUUUCAUCAAACCAGUGAUCAUAUACAUUAACACCACUUGUUGGUGGAUAUAAAUUUGACACUCAUCAUUUGGGCACUCGCAGAAAGAAAAGAAAAAAAGAAACUCCUGAUUUGAGGAAAAAAGAUUCUAACAUUUGCUCGUGACUCGCCCGAAUCCUCAACAAUAUUAGGCCGUAGAAGCGUUAAAUUGGGACUAUUAAAGGGGAAAUGAUUAUAAUCAAUUGACGUUUCGUCACUUGUGUAGCCGUCAGAUUCAAAUUUCAUCGGACCAUGCACGACAUACAUAUUAGUGCAACACAAUAGGUGUUACAAACCACGGGAUUACAACACACUAAAUAUUGUGAAACUCUCGAGUCUUCUGUCUAUAUCGUAUCCGGAGUCACGACACCAAUUCUCUUGACUCAAUUCAAGGGUGACGCGUGCCUCUGCUGCUUUAAUAUUUUUUCGCAACAUCAUCUAUGUUGUAGAAGUCUUUUCGUAACAACAUCGAAGUUGCAAAAAAUUGAAGGCCAAAAAAUAUUCCGUAACAUCAUCUGUGUUGAAUAAAUCGUUUCGCAAACACACCCACAUUAUAAAAAAAUAAAACAAAGAAAUAAUAACUCCGUAACAGAAUAUGUGUUGUAAGUGUUUCUGCAACAUGUGAUAUACUCCCUCCGUUCCUAAAUAUAAGUCUUUCUACAGGUUCAACUAAUGGACUACAUACGGAUGUAUAUAGACAUACUUUAGAAUAUAGAUUUAUUUAUUUUGCUUCGUAUGUAGACACCUAGUGAAAUAUCUUAAAAGACUUAUAUUUAGCUACGGAGGGAGUAUUACAUAGAAGGAUUCAUGUCUUUGUUGUAAUAGUGAGGAAAAAUACAUGUCACUGAAGCACAGAUUUUUUUUAGAAGAUCCGCCCUCGCGGGAUCCUCUGCUCAAGCUUCUGCUCGACGCGGCCGCAGGUGGCGCCCGGGAGGACGACGCCGAUGGGUUGGAGAAUGACCGGGCAACCAGCAGCCGUAAACCACAGCUCCCGAACGUGCAACCGAAACAUGACAUCAAAUCGGCAGCUUUGCACCACCUUCCCUGCUGAUUCCCAUCACAAAUACAGUAUAUCCGUGGAUGAAUUUAUAAUAUGGCGACGAGUUACCGGACCGCCGUCAAAUCAGCCAUGGUCGGGGCGACCCCGACUGCACCAGAAAGGUUUCUAGAAGAGAUCGACGAGCACGGCAACUGCAGCCUGCAGGUGAGCAUCGGCAUGGCGACCCGGAAGGCCGUCAAGGAUCGCGUCGGCGUCACCGUCGGCACUUGCCAUCACCACGGACGGUUAAACAAACCUGAGGCUUUCGGGCGUCGAGCGUGGUUGCCCCUCGACUCCACAACGAAGGUUAUUGCACGCCGUCGUACGAUUUUGAUGGAUAAUUGGUGAGCUUGCUGGCGAAACAUGAUGAUUGCCUAGGAUUAUGCUACUUCGGUCUACUCCUGAACCGGGUUCACUCGAGCAUGUAGUGACUAGUUCAAUCCUAUAAACAGUUAAUUUUCGGUUGAUACUAAUAGAAGUGUGAGCACGAUCUUUUCAAUCUUUUUUUACUUGCACGAAGCAGUGAUUUAGAAAUACUUAUUUUCCUUUCUAUUUAAAAAACGGAUCCAUAUAUCUAUAUAAAGGUUUAUAGGAAGUAACUAGGCAGCAAGCCUGGUAAGCUAUCUCAAAAAGGUUUAUAGAAAGUACAAAGCACAUUAAACAUGAUAAAAAAAAUACAUUGAGGACCCUACACCAUGGAACGACCAUUGUCGUCGUCAUAACAAGCUAACAACGUGUCCCUCUUGUCGCUUCCAUAUCAGAGUCGUACUACAUGAAUCAGUUUCUUUGCCGUCUACCAUAGCGGACGUCAAAGGUCUUUGUCGUCCGUUGGUAGAUUGCAAAUUUUUCAGCACUGAAAGUCACGGUAAAGACCUUCUUUACCGUUUGCUUGGAGGAAGCGGACAAAGAUCUUUGCCGUCUGAUACGAGUGCUAGAAGUGCAACAAGUGGUGUAGUAGCUCAUGAUGAUGCAAGAAACUUGUUCGUCUGAUACCAAGGGAUUUUGUCCCUUAUGCAAUCGAACUCCUUGCACUUCGGGAUGCGAUGGUGUUGGCUACAGAGAAAAGCUGGCAUAGGGUGAUCGUUGAAACAGACUGUCGAGUGGUUCAUGGUGAUUGGAAAAAGCUGAAAAGUGGUCGGACGAAGGGCAUGUCAUCCUAGAGAUACAUUCAUAUCUCUCACACUUUCAGGAAUUCAAGAUUCACUAUGCUUGAAGAGAAGCCAAUGAGGUUGCUCAUCGGGGUGUGAAAGGAGGUCUUUGUGUGUCU